rnacentral:tRNA from 1 species
GCUGGAGUGGCGGAAUUGGUAUACGCGCCAGUCUUAGGAACUGGUCCCGCAAGGGUUGGGAGUUCAAGUCUCCCCUCCAGCA